rnacentral:rRNA from 1 species
CCUACGGGGGGCAGCAGUGAGGAAUAUUGGUCAAUGGACGAGAGUCUGAACCAGCCAAGUAGCGUGAAGGAUGACUGCCCUAUGGGUUGUAAACUUCUUUUAUAUGGGAAUAAAAUGUUCCACUUUUGGGAUUUUGUAUGUACCAUAUGAAUAAGGAUCGGCUAACUCCGUGCCAGCAGCCGCGGUAAUACGGAGGAUCCGAGCGUUAUCCGGAUUUAUUGGGUUUAAAGGGAGCGUAGGUGGAUUGUUAAGUCAGUUGUGAAAGUUUGCGGCUCAACCGUAAAAUUGCAGUUGAAACUGGCAGUCUUGAGUACAGUAGAGGUGGGCGGAAUUCGUGGUGUAGCGGUGAAAUGCUUAGAUAUCACGAAGAACUCCGAUUGCGAAGGCAGUUCACUGGACUGCAACUGACACUGAGGCUCGAAAGUGUGGGUAUCAAACAGGAUUAGAUACCCUAGUAGUC